rnacentral:tRNA from 1 species
UAGCUCAGUUGGUAGAGCAUGGUGUUUGCAACGCCAGGGUUGUGGGUUCGGUUCCCAU